AUGGAUGGCCACGUGCCGAACAUCCAGCCCCACCCCGGCUCUAUAAGGCCCUCCUCGACCCCGUACUCGAACCCUAGAUCCCUCAUCUCAUCCUCUCGCGCCGCCAUCAUCAUUUUUGUUCGCGCCCGAGCGGCUACCCGCCAUGGACAUCGUCGUAGCUGCGGCCAGCACGCUCGAUGUCGCCUGAGAAGAUGUGCGGGAGGAUGGACGUACUCCUCUACUUCUUCUACACCACCGGAUCGACGCCGUAGAACUCCAACGCCGCCACCCGCUUCAUCUUCUUCCUCGGACGCCGCCGGACCUCCUUGUCAAAUUCGCCGCCGUCUGCCGCUCCUAACCUUCCACCGGCCUUUCUUGUGCCCCGCGACGAUGGAGCCCAGGAGCCAGACGCCACUGUCGAUGACGACUACUACUACUCGGGAGGUGCCUACUACUACGUGCAGCCCGCUGACGGCGACCAGGAGUAGUUAG
rnacentral:rRNA from 1 species